GAUGAACGCUGGCGGCGUGCCUAAUACAUGCAAGUCGAGCGAACGGACGAGAAGCUUGCUUCUCUGAUGUUAGCGGCGGACGGGUGAGUAACACGUGGAUAACCUACCUAUAAGACUGGGAUAACUUCGGGAAACCGGAGCUAAUACCGGAUAAUAUUUUGAACCGCAUGGUUCAAAAGUGAAAGACGGUCUUGCUGUCACUUAUAGAUGGAUCCGCGCUGCAUUAGCUAGUUGGUAAGGUAACGGCUUACCAAGGCAACGAUGCAUAGCCGACCUGAGAGGGUGAUCGGCCACACUGGAACUGAGACACGGUCCAGACUCCUACGGGAGACAGCAGUAGGGAAUCUUCCGCAAUGGGCGAAAGCCUGACGGAGCAACGCCGCGUGAGUGAUGAAGGUCUUCGGAUCGUAAAACUCUGUUAUUAGGGAAGAACAUAUGUGUAAGUAACUGUGCACAUCUUGACGGUACCUAAUCAGAAAGCCACGGCUAACUACGUGCCAGCAGCCGCGGUAAUACGUAGGUGGCAAGCGUUAUCCGGAAUUAUUGGGCGUAAAGCGCGCGUAGGCGGUUUUUUAAGUCUGAUGUGAAAGCCCACGGCUCAACCGUGGAGGGUCAUUGGAAACUGGAAAACUUGAGUGCAGAAGAGGAAAGUGGAAUUCCAUGUGUAGCGGUGAAAUGCGCAGAGAUAUGGAGGAACACCAGUGGCGAAGGCGACUUUCUGGUCUGUAACUGACGCUGAUGUGCGAAAGCGUGGGGAUCAAACAGGAUUAGAUACCCUGGUAGUCCACGCCGUAAACGAUGAGUGCUAAGUGUUAGGGGGUUUCCGCCCCUUAGUGCUGCAGCUAACGCAUUAAGCACUCCGCCUGGGGAGUACGACCGCAAGGUUGAAACUCAAAGGAAUUGACGGGGACCCGCACAAGCGGUGGAGCAUGUGGUUUAAUUCGAAGCAACGCGAAGAACCUUACCAAAUCUUGACAUCCUUUGACAACUCUAGAGAUAGAGCCUUCCCCUUCGGGGGACAAAGUGACAGGUGGUGCAUGGUUGUCGUCAGCUCGUGUCGUGAGAUGUUGGGUUAAGUCCCGCAACGAGCGCAACCCUUAAGCUUAGUUGCCAUCAUUAAGUUGGGCACUCUAAGUUGACUGCCGGUGACAAACCGGAGGAAGGUGGGGAUGACGUCAAAUCAUCAUGCCCCUUAUGAUUUGGGCUACACACGUGCUACAAUGGACAAUACAAAGGGCAGCGAAACCGCGAGGUCAAGCAAAUCCCAUAAAGUUGUUCUCAGUUCGGAUUGUAGUCUGCAACUCGACUACAUGAAGCUGGAAUCGCUAGUAAUCGUAGAUCAGCAUGCUACGGUGAAUACGUUCCCGGGUCU
rnacentral:rRNA from 1 species